rnacentral:rRNA from 1 species
AAUGACUCUCGGCAACGGAUAUCUCGGCUCUCGCAUCGAUGAAGAACGUAGCGAAAUGCGAUACUUGGUGUGAAUUGCAGAAUCCCGUGAACCAUCGAGUCUUUGAACGCAAGUUGCGCCCGAAGCCUUCGGGCCGAGGGCACGUCUGCCUGGGCGUCACAC